CUUUUUCCUCCUCGCCGCACUCUCUUUCUCUUCCUUAUCCAUUCUUCCUGCCUCACCCGCACCACUCCUCCUCAGCCCCGAUAGCUAGGCACCGCCGCUCGCCGGAGCUCCCCUCAAGCUCCCAAGCCAUGGCCGCUGGCCCUCUGCAUCGCCGCUGGAUUUCCGGCGCCUCCCCAACCCUCCACCGCGAAUAGAUCUGCAUCCCGUGCGCCAUCGCCAGCCCAAGCGGCGGCGCCCUGCCGCGAGGACCAGAGGGCGACUCCGCACCCACCUGAGCAAAGCUGCUGCUGGCCGGCGGUGAGGCUGACCCGCACAUAUCCCGUGCGCCAUCGCUGGCCCAUGUCUGGGGAGGCGAGCUUCGCGUCGGCCCAAGCAGCGGCCCCCAGCAUGAGGCCCGGCGGGCGAGGAUGCGCCGACCUGAGCAAAGCUGUUGCUGGCCAGCGGUGAGGCUGAUCCAUUCUGGCCUCGUCGACCUCGCAUCCGCCUUCCGCCGCGUCGCCCAGUGCCAGGCGGGCUCCCGGCGCAUCUUCCUUUGUCUCACUGUCGCCUCCCUACUUGGCAGGCCCGCCCGCGACCCCUCCCCCUUCCCUUUGUUCUAUCUCUGGAUCCCCUUCUUUUUGCUGUGUUUUUGUUGUUUGAUUCUGUCUUCAGAUAGCACAUGGCAAUUUAUUCACAUAACAUGGCUACUUCAUAUUUUAGGGACAAAAUUUAGAGUGCUGAACAUAUUAAGUUACCAUGGCAAAAUUGAUGUUAUAAUUGUAUGCAUGGUCAUGUAAGUUGCCAUGGCAAAAUACUUUCUGGUACAUACAUCGUAAUAAAAGUUGCCAUCAUUUUUUCAUACAGUAAAUGAUGUAUAUGGCAAUUAAGCAUUAUUUUGUGGGGAGUUCAUGGAAUUCAUUCGUAACUCGCCAUCCACGGGUUCGGCAGCGAUGGUCUCCUCCCUCCCUGCAUCCGCCAGAGAGGCCACGACAGCUCGCCGACGGCGGGCCUCGAGGUGGCCGAGCGAAAAGCGGCGGUGCUCCGGGUCUUGGGAACUCCUCACCACCACGGCCAUGGUAGCGGCAACAACAGCCAAGACCACGGUCACGCCAAGCAGUAGCAGCCGUUCAGAUAAUUCAUGGGAAAUUAUGUGAUGCGAUGCAAAUUGAACCAAAACUCGUAUGUGUAAAUUGUUACAGUAAUCUGUGUACCUUACACUACUUUUCUCAUGUUUUGCACUGAUAUGUGGGUUGCUCAAAUUUUGAAGCAGCUUGGACGUUACCAUCAGUUUCUAGUUCACUUUGGCAUGUCUCAAAUCCUGCGAUAUUUUUGCUAGCUGAUUUUCUGACUCAAGUUGUGAUAAAUUAGUAAGUUUGCUAUGUACUGAAGUUAGUUUAGUUUCAUGUGUACCCGAGGUUCUGCUUGAAAUAGUUACCAUUGUAAUAGACAUAUAUUUGCCAUCGUAUUUAGCACGAUAUUGCGAGAAUAGACACAGUUGCCACAACUCUGAUGUAUAUUUUUUGCCUCCAAAGUUGCCAUGUCUCACUAUACAAUUUUUUCUUAAAUUUACCGUCUCACUGUACAAUUUUUCUUAAUUUUUCCUGGAAGAUGGCAAAUAUAGUUAUGGAAUCAUGGCAAAUUUAGUUCUCGGAUUAUGGAAAAUUCAUUGCUUUCUUGCGGUGGCAACUUUUGAUUUUGGAUCAUGGCGCGGUAUUACUGUUUUCAAACAUGGCAUCUAAUCGUACACUUUCUGCCAUGUAAACAUCAAAAUUUUAGUUAAUUCAUCAUGGCAAAUUUAGUUUACUCAUCAUGGCAAAUUUGCUUCCUGGAAGAUGGCAAAUAUAGUUAUCAAAGCAUGGCAAAUUCAUUGCUUUCUUGCCAUGGCAAUUUUUUGAUUUUUAAAAUUGUCACCAUACUUCUUGAAAUUUUCAAAAACAACAUAAAAUGGAAAAUAUUGCGAUGGCAUGUUUUACUAAUUAUUUCACCUUUAUUAACAUGGCAAAUUUACCUAAAUUUUCAUGACAAUUUUUUAACAUUUAUUGCCAUGGCAAGUUUUAUUAUUUAUUUGCCAUGCCAAAUUUACCUUUUUAUUAAGAUGGUAAAUUUACCUAACUACCCACGACAAUAUUUAACUUUUAUUGCCAUGGAAAUUUUUACUAUUUAUUUGACUUUUUAUUAA
rnacentral:rRNA from 1 species